rnacentral:lncRNA from 1 species
UGAUAAUAACAAAUUUAUUAAAAAAUAUAUACAAAGAUAUAAAGAGUAGGAUUGGAAUACUGUCGGUACUAAACGGUUAAGUUUACUACCGAUUUAUUUUCGAUAAUAGAGAUUCCAAAUUAACGAUCGGUACUAAUGAACAUGAUCUAGACUUUUUAAGCUAUAUAAAAACCAAAUUUUAUAUCAAAGCGAACGAUCAAAUGGUCACAAAAUUUAUAUUUUAAUUACGGGUAAAGUGCAUUUGAUCAUUUAACAAUAUAGAAGAGUCCAAAUUAUCUAAUUUUUUUUAUUAAAAUUUUUUUAAAAUUACUUAAAAUAAGAUCUAAAUAUUAGAUUUUGAAUAUAAAAAUUAUAUUAUCACUUUUCGAAAAAUAUUCAUUUUCAGUCCUUUAUUUUAUGUCCACUUGAUGGACAAGAAAACAAUAUCAAAAAAAUAUAAAAUUUAAUUUCUAAAUAGCUCAAAAAGUCUAAAUCAUGUUCAAUGGUGCCGAUCAUUGGUUUAGAAAUUCUACCAUCGAAAAUAAAUUGGUAAUAAAUUGAGGCGUUUAUUACUGAUAAUAUUCUAAUCCUCCUAUAUAUAUAGAGAGAGAGAGAGCUAGGCGUUUGUUUUUUCGGCAUCAUUUGGCUAGUGAUCAAAAGGUCUCAAAAUUGAUAAUUUUAAUAAUCAAUGUAAUGCACUUGUGAAUUUAACAGUGUAAAACAAUCCAAAUCUGAUAAAACUUUUAUAAAAAUUCAUUUCACUAUUUAGAGUAACAACAAUACCUCUAAUCUUAAAUUUAAGUCUUUUAUCAUUAUUUUUUAUGAAACUUUUAUUUUUCAGCAGUUCAUUUUUAGACUACUAAUUUGAUUGGUAAAUGCUAUUGGAAAAACUAUGAAAUUUAGUUUUCAAAUUAAUACUUUAAAUAGUAUAGAUUAAGUCUAACGGAGCCGAUUGUCGAUUUGAAAGCUGCAUCAUUAAAAACAAUUUGAUAGCACGGAAGCCCAAUAGUAUGCCAGCCGAACUUUAUCUAUACUAUAUAUAAAAUCAUAUAGAAAUACCAAACAAAAUAAAAAAUAAUAAUAAUAAUAAUAAUAAAAGAAUAUUCCAUACGAACGAUUAUGAUCAAUUUGUUCAAAAAGUUUUCAAAUAAGAACAAAUGAUUAUGAUCAAUCUGUUAAAAAAAAAGCAUUUAUAUCCAUCUAUAAUUCAAUUCUACGCACGGUUAUGAUCAAUUUAUUAAAAGCAUUUCAAAUAAAAGCGAAUGAUUAUGAUCAAUUUGUUAAAAAAAAAGCAUUUCUUACCAUCUAUUAUGCAUUAAAAUUUAAAUUUGAGUUUAGAUCAUGAAUUAAAUUUUAUUUUUAUAUCAAAUUUGACUUAACAAUUUAAAAAUUUUAAUUAUAUAAUGGAUUGAAAUUAAAUUUCAAAUUUUAAAAUAAAUAUCAAUUAAAUUUUGAUGUUUGUAUUAGAUUCAUCAUAAAUUAAAAAAUAUAUACAAAUAUUUAACGUAUAUAAAAAAAAGAACAAUACAAAAUAUUACAAAUAUUUUUUAAUAAAAUAUAACAUAUAAAUUUGUAAAUUAUAAUUUUUAUUGUAAAUUUUUAAAUAAAUAUAAUGUACAAAUUUAUAUUGAUUUAACUAAAUUAAAAUAAUUAUUACGUACAUUUAUACGUACACUCAACUAAUAUAUAUAUAUAUAUAUAUAUAUAGAGAGAGAAAGAGUCUGGCUAUGAUACUAUCGUCUAUCGAUAGCACGAAGUAUUUGGUGGUAUCAAAUUUUUCGCCCUUGGAUUAAAAGAUGUGCUGUUAGGAUGAUGAGUAGUAUAUAUAUAUAUUAAAU